AGUCCAAAUUCAGCCUGUGAACCCAACCACAAAUCCCUAUACUUGACUGUUCUCUGAGAGCCUCAAACCCCAAUGUAGGCCUGGCUGUUAGAGAUCUAUCCCUCUGGUCAGGCCCCUCUCUGUGCUGUCAUGUCACCACCCUGCCCUUGCCAUGCCUUCAUCCCAAGGCAUCCCAAAGCCAGCCAUCCUCACACAUGAGCGGGUACUGCAGAUGAGCAAGAUGCUGUCCUUAUCUGGGGCCACAGCUGAUGAUGUGGUUUACACGGUCCUGCCUCUGUACCACGUGAUGGGACUUGUCGUUGGGAUCCUCGGCUGCUUAGAUCUCGGAGCCACCUGUGUUCUGGCCCCCAAGUUCUCUACUUCCUGCUUCUGGGAUGACUGUCGGCAGCAUGGCGUGACAGUGAUCCUGUAUGUGGGCGAGCUCCUGCGGUACUUGUGUAACAUUCCCCAGCAACCAGAGGACCGGACACAUACAGUCCGCCUGGCAAUGGGCAAUGGACUACGGGCUGAUGUGUGGGAGACCUUCCAGCAGCGCUUCGGUCCUAUUCGGAUCUGGGAAGUCUA
rnacentral:sRNA from 1 species